CCCUUAGAUGUUCUGGGCCGCACGCGCGCUACACUGAUCAGUGCAACAAGCAUCCGUCCUUGGCCGAUAGGUCUGGGUAAUCUUUGAACGCUGUUCGUGAUUGGGAUAGACCUUUGCAAUUAUGGGUCUUCAACGAGGAAUUCCUAGUAAACGCAAGUCAUCAGCUUGCAUUGAUUACGUCCCUGCCCUUUGUACACACCGCCCGUCGCACCUACCGAUUGAAUGGUCCGGUGAAAUCUCGGGACGGCGGCUUGGUCGCUUGCGUCCGACUGCUGAAACUUGAUUAAACCAUAUCAUUUAGAGGAAGGUGAAGUCGUAACA
rnacentral:rRNA from 1 species